rnacentral:rRNA from 1 species
GAUGAACGCUGGCGGCGUGCCUAAUACAUGCAAGUCGAGCGAACGGACGCGAAGCUUGCUUCUCUGUUGUUAGCGGCGGACGGGUGAGUAACACGUGGAUAACCUACCUAUAAGACUGGGAUAACUUCGGGAAACCGGAGCUAAUACCGGAUGAUAUUUUGAACCGCAUGGUUCAAAAGUGAAAGACGGUCUUGCUGUCACUUAUAGAUGGAUCCGCGCUGCAUUAGCUAGUUGGUAAGGUAACGGCUUACCAAGGCAACGAUGCAUAGCCGACCUGAGAGGGUGAUCGGCCACACUGGAACGGAGACACGGUCCAGACUCCUACGGGAGGCAGCAGUAGGGAAUCUUCCGCAAUGGGCGAAAGCCUGACGGAGCAACGCCGCGUGAGUGAUGAAGGUCUUCGGAUCGUAAAACUCUGUUAUUAGGGAAGAACAGAUGUGUAAGGAACUGUGCACAUCUUGACGGUACCUAAUCAGAAAGCCACGGCUAACUACGUG